AAUGGGUCAGCGACUUAUAUUCUGUAGCAAGGUUAACCGAAUAGGGGAGCCGAAGGGAAACCGAGUCUUAACUGGGCGUUAAGUUGCAGGGUAUAGACCCGAAACCCGGUGAUCUAGCCAUGGGCAGGUUGAAGGUUGGGUAACACUAACUGGAGGACCGAACCGACUAAUGUUGAAAAAUUAGCGGAUGACUUGUGGCUGGGGGUGAAAGGCCAAUCAAACCGGGAGAUAGCUGGUUCUCCCCGAAAGCUAUUUAGGUAGCGCCUCGUGAAUUCAUCUCCGGGGGUAGAGCACUGUUUCGGCAAGGGGGUCAUCCCGACUUACCAACCCGAUGCAAACUGCGAAUACCGGAGAAUGUUAUCACGGGAGACACACGGCGGGUGCUAACGUCCGUCGUGAAGAGGGAAACAACCCAGACCGCCAGCUAAGGUCCCAAAGUCAUGGUUAAGUGGGAAACGAUGUGGGAAGGCCCAGACAGCCAGGAUGUUGGCUUAGAAGCAGCCAUCAUUUAAAGAAAGCGUAAUAGCUCACUGGUCGAGUCGGCCUGCGCGGAAGAUGUAACGGGGCUAAACCAUGCACCGAAGCUGCGGCAGCGACACUAUGUGUUGUUGGGUAGGGGAGCGUUCUGUAAGCCUGUGAAGGUGUGCUGUGAGGCAUGCUGGAGGUAUCAGAAGUGCGAAUGCUGACAUAAGUAACGAUAAAGCGGGUGAAAAGCCCGCUCGCCGGAAGACCAAGGGUUCCUGUCCAACGUUAAUCGGGGCAGGGUGAGUCGACCCCUAAGGCGAGGCCGAAAGGCGUAGUCGAUGGGAAACAGGUUAAUAUUCCUGUACUUGGUGUUACUGCGAAGGGGGGACGGAGAAGGCUAUGUUGGCCGGGCGACGGUUGUCCCGGUUUAAGCGUGUAGGCUGGUUUUCCAGGCAAAUCCGGAAAAUCAAGGCUGAGGCGUGAUGACGAGGCACUACGGUGCUGAAGCAACAAAUGCCCUGCUUCCAGGAAAAGCCUCUAAGCAUCAGGUAACAUCAAAUCGUACCCCAAACCGACACAGGUGGUCAGGUAGAGAAUACCAAGGCGCUUGAGAGAACUCGGGUGAAGGAACUAGGCAAAAUGGUGCCGUAACUUCGGGAGAAGG
rnacentral:rRNA from 1 species